rnacentral:lncRNA from 1 species
GAAGGUGGGUGGGAGUCACGAUCGCACGGGGAAGAAGAAGGGAGAAAAGAAAAGAAAAAGAAAAAGAAGAAAAGAAAAAUAAUAAAGAAAUUUUUAAUAUUAAAGUAAAAAUAAAAUAUAUAUAUAUAUAUAUAUAUAUAUAUAUAUAUAUAUAUAUAUAUAUAUAUAUAUAUAUAUAUAUAUAUAUACUUUCUUUGGGCAUUACAUUCUUCCCUCCUUAAGAAACUUUCGUCCUCGAAAGUUCUAAUCCUGAAAUAACUCUGGAUAACGAGUCCUCAUUUCUUCCUCUCGCUCCCAUGUCGCCUCUUCAAUUCGAUGAUUCCGCCACAAAACCUUUACUAAUGGAAUGCUUCUAUUACGAAGCAUCUUUACCUCUCUAGCCAGAAUCUCCACAGGUUGUUCUACAUAGCUCAAAUGCUCAUCAAUCUCCAAGGGUUCAUAGUCCACUACAUGAGAUGUAUCGGCCACAUACUUCCUCAACAUCGAAACAUGGAAAACAUUAUGAACUGCAGAGAGAGAUGGUGGUAAUGCCAAGCGAUACGCCACAACACCAACCCUCUCUAAGAUCUCAAAUGGUCCAACAAAACGAGGACUUAACUUUCCUUUCUUCUCAAAACGCAUAACACCCUUCAUAGGUGCUACCUUCAAGAAUACCUUUUCUCCCACAUCGAACUUAAGGUCUUUUCGCCGUACAUCUGCAUAACUCUUCUGUCUACUCUGCGCUGUUUGCAUACGUGCUCUAAUCUUUUGAAUAGCCUCAUUAGUAGACCGAACUAAUUCAGGUCCCAUCAAUCUAUGUUCACCAACCUCACUCCAACAAACAGGGGUUCUACAACAUUUGCCAUACAAAGCCUCAAAUGGUGCCAUACCGAUGGUAGCCUGGAAACUGUUGUUAUAAGCAAACUCCAUCAAAUGUAGAUGAGAGUCCCAACUACCUGGAAACUCUAUAACACAAGCUCGUAGCAUAUCCUCUAAAACUUGGUUCAAACGUUCAGUUUGACCAUCAGUCUGUGGAUGAAAGGCUGUACUGAAAUCCAAUCUCGUACCCAUAGCAGUCUGAAGUCCCUUCCAAAACUUGGAAGUAAACCGUGCAUCCCUAUCAGAAACAAUCGAUACAGGCACUCCAUGCAGUCUCACAAUCUCAGUUAAAUACAACUCUGCCCACUUACUAGCAGUAUAAGUGGAUUUUCCUGGUACAAAAUGUGCCGAUUUCGUAAGCCUGUCUAUGACAACCAGAAUCACUGUGAAACCCUUCAGGGUCUUAGGCAGCCCUGAAAUAAAAUCCAUCGACACAUUCUCCCACUUCCACUCUGGCACACUUAAAGGUUGUAACAAACCUGCUGGUUUCUGUCUAGGUGCCUUAACUUGCUGACAUACUAGACACUUACUAACAAAUUCCGCCACUUCCCUUUUCAUAUUCCGCCACCAAUAAAAUCGUUUUAGAUCCUGAUACAUUUUCGUGCUACCAGGAUGCAUGGAAAAUGGGGAAUUAUGGGCUUCAUCUAGUAAGUCAAUCUUAACUGUACUGUUCGCUGGCACACAUAAACGUCUCUCAAACAUCAACCCACCAUCAGAGGAUAUGGAGAACUCAUCAGUCUGCCCUGUUUCAACAAGGCGACGUCUCUCCAUCAAAUAAGGAUCAUUACUCUGAGCAUCAACAAUCUUGUGCCUCAGAGUCGGUUGCACCGUUAAUUGAGCUAGCUGUGAGGUGACUCUCCCCACAGACACUGCAAUCUCAGCUCUCUCCAAGUCUCGAUGCAAUGGUACCUGUCUAGUAAUGAGUGCUGCCGAAUGUGAUACUUUUCUACUAAGAGCAUCAGCCACCACAUUCGCCUUACCAGGAUGGUACAAUAUCUCACAGUCAUAAUCUUUUACCAACUCGAGCCACCUUCGCUGUCUCAUAUUCAACUCCUUCUGAGUGAAGAAGUACUUUAGGCUCUUAUGGUCAGUAAAGAUUUGUAUCUUUUCACCGUACAAGUAAUGUCUCCAUAUCUUCAAUGCAAAAACCACUGCUGCCAACUCCAAAUCAUGUGUGGGGUAGUUCUGCUCGUGACUCUUCAACUGACGAGAGGCAUAAGCAACCACCUUACCUUUCUGCAUCAAAACACAACCCAGUCCUUUCUUGGAAGCAUCACUGUAAAUCACAAAACUUCCAGAUCCAUCUGGUACAGUAAGGACCGGUGCAGUAACUAACCUUUGCUUAAGGUUCUGAAAACUAUCCUCACAAGCUGGACUCCAAACAAACGGAGUUCCCUUCCUUGUCAACUGAGUCAAAGGAGUAGCCAAACGUGAAAAAUCCUCCACAAACCUCCGGUAGUACCCUGCUAAACCCAGAAAACUACGAACCUCACUAACUGUAGAGGGUCGAGACCAACUGGUAACCGCUUCUAUCUUUGCAGGGUCUACUGAAACUCCCUCACUGGAAACCACAUGACCAAGAAAAGCCACCUGCUUCAACCAAAAUUCGCACUUAGAGAACUUAGCAUACAGUUUAUUGACUCGAAGAGUCUCUAACACCUUAUGUAAGUGUUCCUCAUGUUCGGCUUCAGUCUUGGAAUAAACCAAAAUAUCAUCAAUGAAGACUAUCACAAAAGUGUCCAAGAAAUCCUUAAACACCCUGUUCAUCAAAUCCAUAAAUACAGCAGGUGCAUUAGUCAAACCAAAAGACAUUACUAUGAAUUCAUAAUGUCCAUACCUCGAACGAAAAGCAGUCUUAGGAAUAUCACGGUCUCUAAUCCUCAACUGGUGAUAACCUGACCGUAAGUCAAUCUUAGAGAACACCGUGGCUCCCUGUAACUGAUCGAACAAAUCAUCGAUUCUGGGUAAAGGAUAUCUGUUCUUGACUGUUACUUUAUUCAACUCUCUAUAGUCAAUGCAAAGACGCAUCGACCCAUCCUUCUUCUUCACAAACAAUACUGGUGCACCCCAAGGUGACACACUAGGUCGAAUAAAGCCUUUGUCAAGCAAUUCCUGUAACUGUACCUUCAGUUCUUUCAACUCAGCAGGAGCCAUCCUAUAAGGGGCUCUAGAAAUAGGAGUAGUGUUUGGCUCCAACUCAAUGGCAAAAUCAACCUCUCUAUGUGGCGGUAGUCCUGGAAGAUCUUUUGGAAAUACAUCUGGGUAGUCUCUUACCACAGGUUCUGAAGUUAAAGAAGUCUCACCUUCCCUAGUAUCCACCACACUUGCCAAAAUACUCCAAGUACCCUGGUUGAGUAGUUUACUAGCUUUCAUAGCUGAGAUUACUUUAGGCAGUACUACUGUUCCUACUCCCUUGAAUUUAAAGCUAGAUGCAGUAGGGGGACUAAACACAACUUCCUUACGAGAACAAUCAAUACUAGCAUGAUUAGUAGCUAGCCAAUCCAUACCUAAAAUUACAUCAAAGUCACGCAUAUCUAAUACCAACAAGGUUACGUCCAGCACACGACCAGCUAUCUCAAUUUCACAUGCUUUAAUCUUUUCCUUAGACAACAUAAUUUCUCCAGACGGUGUAGACACUGACAAAACAUAGUCUAAGGGUUCCACCUCUAAGCAUGCAUGCGUCACAAAAAGCGAUGAAAUAAAUGAAUGAGAAGAUCCCGAGUCAAACAAGGUCAAGGCAAAAUGCCCUAAUACUGGUAAUGUACCUGUCACUACUGUGCCGGCCUUCUCUGCCUCUGAUCUAUUAGUGGCAAAGAUUGUACCCCGCUGUGGAGGUCUCUCUCCCUGACUGCUCGAUCCAGCCCCAGUAGAUCUCAAGGGACACCUAUCAGCCAUGUGUCCCUCUUGCUUGCACUUAUAACAGACUCUCGUUCCCAUCAAACAACGACCCAGGUGGCGUUUCCCACACGUAUUACAUACUGGCCUCUCUUGAGUAGUGUCUCCUGCACCGCCAGAACUCUGCUGGAAACUGCGAAAAAGAUCACCUGGUCUCAUGUUCCUCUGAGGAACUCCUACAGUUCUCUGCUCUACUUUUCUCUUUUGACCCGACGACGAUCCCUUAUUAAAGCUCCUUGGCUGUCUUUCAUCCUUCCCAAUACUCAUAUCCACUGCCAGACGCAGUGCUUCAGCUUGGGUAGUGGGCUUUAGUGCUCGCACAAAACCCCUAAUUUCAUCUCUCAAUCCCUUGACGAACCUAUCAGCUCUAGCCUGCUCAUUACUAACAAGCUCAGGGGCAAAACGUGACAGCAUAUCAAACUCCUGGUCGUACUCCUCGACUGUCAUAUAUCCUUGCUUCAACUCCAAGAAUUCCUGGCUUUUGGCGUCUCUAAGGUUAGCCGAGAAAAACUUGGUAUAGAAGCAGUUCUUAAACUGAUCCCAGGUAAUCUGCCUCACAUCUCCACCUAGCAUGCGCAUUGUAGUCCUCCACCAGAUAAUGCCUCUGUCCCUCAGUAGAAAAGCAGCACACUGAACUCUGUGCUCCUCGGGACAUCUCAUGUAAUUAAAUAUGGUUUCCACAGAGGACAACCACAUUUCAGCUUUAGUAGGAUCCUCCAGUGACCCAUCAAACGUCUGAGGGUCAUACUUCCGAAAGUCCCUCAAAUGUUUCGCCUCAGCAGAAAGUUGGUUAGGUAAUUCUUGUGCAGGAGGGGCUGCUGGUGCAGGGGGAACUACAGGUGCAGGUGGGACUGCAGGUGCCUGCUGGUUUUGAGCUAUAGCUGUCAUAAGUUCUGUAAACCUCUGCUCCAUGUGAGCAGACAGUGCAUCAAACUCGACGUGAGUCACGGGUGCAGCAGGAAUUCGCUGUUCAGCUUGACCCUCAGUAGGCUGAUUACGACCUACUCCUCUACCUCGGCCUCCUGCUCCUCUACCUCGGCCUCCUGUUCCUCUACCUCGACCUCUACGACCUCCUCUACGUACUUCUUCCCUUGGCGGCAUAAUUCCUAUUAUCCACCAACAACACUCUUUAACAAAAUCUUAAUCAUAAACAUAAGCAAGUCUUUAUCGUCAUGCAGUCUAGUUUAAUUUAGGCAAGGUCAUGCAAAUAAACCAUACAUAUAAGCAUCAAGCAUACCUGACGAGAGACGAAGGGUCGCGUUAGCCAUAGGAACACAAAAACAUAGACUUACAUCGUAAGUCAGUCUACAGAACCUAAAACUUAGGCUCUGAUACCAACUGUAACGACCCAACUUUUCUAAGUAAGUCGAGAUCGUUAAUUUUUAACAAAUAAAAGACUUUGAUUAAUAUAAAACAAAACGUAAGCAAAUUUUAAAAAAAAAACAUCUUCAAGUCAGGCCUGAUUUUCAAAUAUUCCAAAAACUUAAAAAUAACACUAUUUACAAAUAAAAGUUUGUAAACUAACAUUUAGUACAUGUUAAACCUUAAAAGAAAUCAUAAGCGGAAGCAAAAUAACACAUUCCCUAUGGCAUUCACGCUUCCUUCCUGCCCCUCGCCGGUUUGCCACCUUUAUUUCCUUUGCCUGAAAAUUAAACAUAAGAAGGGUGAGUAUAACAAUACUCAGUAAGAGACCCUCUACUGGUCUCGUCAGGGGAAAAUAAAUUGUUAAAGUUCUAUUGGGACACCCUGUACAGUCGCAGUCUUGUGAUCCCGUAGGAUACACAUUUCAGUCUAACGCCCCGAAGGACGUACAUAUCAGUCUAACGCCCGAGGGACGUACAUAUCAGUCUAACGCCCCGAGGGACGUACAUAUCAGUCUAACGCCCCGAGGGACGUUCAUAUCAGUCUAACGCCCAGAGGGACGUUCAUAUCAGUCUAGUGUUCUGCAGAAACACAUAUCAGUCAAAUGCUCCCGAAGGUGCAAAAUAAAUUGGUGAUCCCGUGGGACACCUACAAGGCACACAUCCCAAUAAAAGCUAACAAUUUUUCCCCUCAGUCCAUUCUAAACAUCUUAACAGUCAUUCACAAAUCAGUUAAACAUUCUCAUCACGUAAACUUCUUAUUUAACCUCAACCAAACGUCCUACUCUAAUUUAGCCCAAGGUCAGUAAAAAGCAUAUCAUUUCAUCAGUUAACAAGCUUAACAAUCAUAACCUCCUCCUCAGUCACCAAGGGUACAACCACGACGUUUCUUUCGUUCACAAGCACACAACAUAACAGUAGAUAUUAUAAAUUCAGUCUAGAGAAGAAUCAAUCUACUAAUCAAAUCCACACUUUAUAUAAGCAACAACUACGAGAUUCAGUCGUUUCCACAUCCUUAUCCUUGUACACAUACAUAACCAGACAGUCACAACAUAUACUCAACCACAGUCCACAUCAACCCAUGCACAUAUAUGUAUUAAUUUCUCCCAGUCAAACACAGCAAACAUUAAACUUUAAGUCAAUGUCCAAACAUACAUCAUAACAGUCAUCUCUACUCAGUUCAAAUAAUAUAAUACGGUCCAUACAGUCAAUGCAUCUUAAUUAUGAGUCCAGUAGAAAAUCCCUUACCUCAAAGUUGGGGAAGCUUCUAAAUCAACUAACGUCCUCGAAACAAUCCUAAGCACAACAACACAAAAAUUCAAUUACUUUCACGAUACAUAUCUCACUUACUUUCCUCAACGUAAGUUCCAACUCACCGAAAUAUUGGCGAACUGAACCCUCAACAAUUCACAAACUGAUUGUGAAUGUAAGGGAGUCUAACGAUACUCCCAACACCUCAACGCACGAAUGUCGAACUCGCAGCAAAAAUCCUAAAUGUGGGUCGGUCAACGGUCGACCAAAGGAGACGUGGCGGCUGCCUCAAAUCGAUCAACGAUCUGACGCGGUUGGAGAGUCGCGCGGCAGUGCAGAAAACAGAGGAGAACGGAAUGGGCGGCGGCUCGAAACAGAGGUUGCGCGGCAGGGCUUCACGAAGACAGAACCGGCGGAGACGGUUGCGGAACCGUGGCUUCGAUGGAGACAGAACCGACUGAGACGGCUGGGCAGCGGAGAAAGAGCAACGGUUGCAACGGCGGAAGGUCUUGCGGUGCAAAUCUGGACGGAAAGUUACGCGGCGGCCGACGGUUACAGCGACAGUUUUGGAUCGAAGAAGAAAAGAAAGUGGGUUCGGCUUCGGUGAACGGAGGAAGAAACAGAUGUUGCGGUUGAGUUCGGCUCGAUCUGGCGGAACGGAGAGGAGAAGGGAUGGUCAGCGGCUGCUUGCUGCGAACGGAAGGAGACGGAAGGUGGGUGGGAGUCACGAUCGCACGGGGAAGAAGAAGGGAGAAAAGAAAAGAAAAAGAAAAAGAAGAAAAGAAAAAUAAUAAAGAAAUUUUUAAUAUUAAAGUAAAAAUAAAAUAUAUAUAUAUAUAUAUAUUAUAUAUAUAUAUAUAUAUAUAUAUAUAUAUAUAUUUACCUUUUCUUUGGGCAUUACACCUGCCAUCUUCUACCUUCGUCGUCGGUGGCGGUCUCUCAGGUAUUUAUGGAUCUAAUCUUUACUAUCUGUACUUUUCUUUGAGUAAGUCAUCCGAGAAAAGAUGGUAAAACUUUAGGCUAUUUGCUAAAAAUUGCAAAGUGGUUUCUGGACACAAAAUCCCAUGGUCGAAAUUUAAGAAGAAUCGAG